rnacentral:pre_miRNA from 14 species
GUCAACCAUUAACCCAUCUAACCUUUUUAAUUUAAUGGGUCAUGGGUCAACCCAACCUAUUUAAUAAAUGGGUUGGGUUGACCCAUGACUCAUUAACAGUAAACCCAUUUGGGUUUUGGGU